UACGAAGGGGGCUAGCGUUGCUCGGAAUCACUGGGCGUAAAGCGCACGUAGGCGGCUUCUUAAGUCGGUGGUGAAAUCCUGGAGCUCAACUCCAGAACUGCCUUCGAUACUGGGAGCUCGAGUCCGGGAGAGGUGAGUGGAACUGCGAGUGUAGAGGUGAAAUUCGUAGAUAGUCGCAAGAACACCAGCGGCGAAGGCGGCUCACUGGCCCGGUACGUGACGCUGAGGUGCGAAAGCG
rnacentral:rRNA from 1 species